GACGAACGCUGGCGGCGUGGAUUAGGCAUGCAAGUCGAACGGUAUCAUCCUUUCGGGGGUGAGAGAGUGGCGAACUGGUGAGUAACACGUAGGUGAUCUACCCUCAAGAUUGGGACAACCAGGGAAACUUGGGCUAAUACCGGAUGAAAGCAGCAGUGAUGUUGUUUGAAAGGUGGCGUAAGCUGCCGUUUGGGGAUGAGCCUGCGCUCUAUUAGUUAGUUGGCGGGGUAAAGGCCCACCAAGGCGAUGAUAGAUAGGCGGCCUUAACGGGUGGUCGCCCACACUGGGAUUGAGAUACGGCCCAGACUCCUACGGGAGGCAGCAGUCGAGAAUAGUCUACAAUGGUCGGAAGACUGAUAGUGCGACGCCGCGUGAACGAUGAAUCCCUUCGGGGUGUAAAGUUCUUUUAUAUGUGAGCAGUGCUUCUUAUAUUAACAGUAUGGGGAGAGAGAUAUUAGCAUAUGAAUAAGCAACGGCUAACUCCGUG
rnacentral:rRNA from 1 species